rnacentral:lncRNA from 7 species
UCUUUCAAGUCCCCCAUUUAAGCGAAAAUCACGCGUUUUCUUUUCGCAAAUCCCCCAUUUAACCCGAAAACCAUGCGUUUUCUCUUCGAGAAUCCAACAUUUAACCCGAAAAACCACACGUUUUCUCUUCGAGA